GGCUAGAUCUGUUGUUGGAACGCGGCUGCUGAGCCAGGGUCUAGAUUUCCCAGCCUCGCUGGCGUGUGGGUGUGGCCACAUGAGAGUCCUGGCCAAAGGAAUGUGAGCAGGAGUGUCCUUCGCCACUUCUCAGCUAGGUCUCUUAAGAAGCAGGUAUGCCUUUCUACCUGCAAUUUCUUCCAUUUCCUCUACUGCCUCCUCCACCUGGCUGGAGGAACAUGACAAUGGGGGCCUAAUUGAGGUGGAACUACAGAUGAACUGAACCUGGGUUCUUAAGUCGCUACCUGCAAGAAAGCUGCCUGCCAACCAGAAGCACCAUGUGAGCAAGAAAGGGGCCUCAAAAUGUGUAAUAUCUGUGAGACAUUAGAAAUUUAUUCAUUACAGCUGCUAGUGUUACCCCAGCAAUGCAAGUACCUUUGUGACUCUAGUUUACUGGAGAUUUUUGAUAAGAGAUUCUGCUGUAGUACUUACUUUAAUGAAGGGAUGAGACUCACUUGCAAUCAAUAGACCAUUUGGACACAGAUUUUAUUUUAAAUUAUGAUAAAAACACAUAACAUGCAUUUACCCUCUUAAUAAUUUUGAAGUGUACGUUAGUGUAUUGUUGGCUAUAUACACACUGUUGAACAUUAGAUCUCUAGGGCUUUUUUCAUCUUUUGACUGAAAAUCUAUACUCAUUAAACAACAAGACACAUAUUUUUAAAGUCUUUAAUAGUAACUUAUGUUCUUAAGGAGAUAAACUGUUUUUUAAAUAAAAUUUAUAAAACUGAAAGAGAAACUAUGUCUAGAAGUCUCUUCUACAUGAAGAAUGGAAAAAGCAAGGUAAGCAAUUUAAUAAAUAAGGGCAGGAAAAAAGGGAUGACAUUUAAUUUUUUUAAUUGUAUUUUUUCCAUUACCAUUUAACCCUCUUAUACUUCCCUCCCCCUGCAAUCACCACGCUGUUGUCCAUGUCCAUGAGUCCUUUUUCCUUUUUGAUCCAUCCUUCCACCAUGUAAAAUCCGCCUACACCAAUAGCUGUCAUCAUGUUCUCUAUCUAUCAGUCUACCUUUAUUUUGUUUGUUAGUUCAGUUGGUUCAUUAGAUUCCACAUAUAAGUGAAAUCAUAUGGUGUUUGUCUU